CCGCACAAGCGUGGAUUAUGUGGAUUAAUUCGAUGCAACGCGAAAACCUUACCUACCCUUGACAUGCUAGGAACUUGCCAGAGAUGCUUGGUGCCCGAAAGGAACCUAGACACAGGUGCUGCAUGGCUGUCGUCAGCUCGUGUCGUGAGAUGUUGGGUUAAGUCCCGCAACGAGCGCAACCCUUGUCAUUAAUUGCCAUCAUUCAGUUGGGCACUUUAAUGAGACUGCCGGUGACAAACCGGAGGAAGGUGGGGAUGACGUCAAGUCCUCAUGGCCCUUAUGGGUAGGGCUUCACACGUAAUACAAUGGUCGGUACAGAGGGUCGCCAACCCGCGAGGGGGAGCCAAUCCCAUAAAGCCAUUCGUAGUCCGGAUCGCAGUCUGCAACUCGACUGCGUGAAGUCGGAAUCGCUAGUAAUCGUGGAUCAGAAUGUCACGGUGAAUACGUUCCCGGGUCUU
rnacentral:rRNA from 1 species